rnacentral:rRNA from 1 species
UGCCCGAAAGGGUGACGAUGCGACGCCGCGUGAGCGAAGAAGGCCCUAGGGUUGUAAAGCUCUGUCAGGGGUUAAGAAAUGUAGAUAGGUUAGUACCCUGUUUAUUUGACAAAAGCCCCAAAGGAAGCCACGGCUAACUCUGUGCCAGCAGCCGCGGUAAUACAGAGGUGGCAAGCGUUGUUCGGUAUUAUUGGGCGUAAAGAGCACGUAGGUGGUUUUGUAAGUCAGAUGUGAAAGCCUUCUGUUCAAAAGAAGACCGGCAUCUGAAACUGCAAAUCUUGAGUGUAGGAGGGGAGAGUGGAACCUCUGGUGGAGCGGUGAAAUGCGUAGAUAUCAGAAGGAACGUCGGCGGCGAAAGCGACUCUCUGGCCUAUUACUGACACUGAGUGUGCGAAAGUUAGGGGAGCAAACGGGAUUAGAUACCCCGGUAGUCCUACCGUAAACGAUGGGCACUAAGUAGAGGGGU